GGAACAGGCCCCCUUUGUCCUGGGUAUGAGACUAAGACACAGCUGGAGUUUCCUCUCCCUGAGAGUCUGUCCACUGGACCUCUGGCUGAGGGAACCAGCCCUCUGACUUGCACUCUAACUAGAUUUCUCUGGACUUAGUGACCUCCACGUGGAAGUGAGGAUUUGAGCCAAGAACUAGGAAGAGGAAGAGAGAAAGUCAGAGAAUCAGAGACUCUUGUAAGAAUUCCCACCUGCAACCAGUACUUGCAUCCGGAGGCAGAGGUAGAGCGAGAUGAGGCUGCCAUGAUAGCUGGAGAGACUUGCUGCCUCCUCAGGCUCCCGGCUCCACCUACCUUCUACAUGCUGAUGACUCACUCCAAAGUGUACAUCUUCUGUCCAUAAUUUCUGGGGAUCCAGUGGCGGCAACCUGCUUCUAGAGGGACCAGGAGCUUCGGGACCCCUCUGCCUUGGACCAACAGGAAAAGCAGGAAAGUCAGGGGCCAGAGAAACAUGUGAAAUGACACCAAGGAGAUGGAUGCAACUAACCAAAUCCAGAAUAUGGGCAAGAAGACCAGGCAAGGAUCCGGUUUCCUCAAUAAACCAACUGAAAAGAAAACAAAAAGGGCAGUGAUAUAGAUUAAAAGAAAUUUAAGA
rnacentral:lncRNA from 1 species